AAUUUUGUUUCAGCUUUCAACAUACACUGGGAGAUGGCUCGGACCCGUCUUUGUUCUAUAUCUGUACCUUUUCUUAUUCUGCUAAUAAUCGCCUUUACUUUCUUUGCACAGAUUACUCCAAUUAAUAGUGCAGAUAUGAAGAUGAGAAAAUUGGGUCUCCUCCCAAGUCCUCCUCCUCAACCCAUUGUUAGUCCCGGCCCAGAAGUUCAUUAAGCUCGUGCUCCUUCUUCUCAUCCUGAUCCACCCCAUAAUCGCCAAACUUUCAACAUAAAGAUGGCUCGGACCACUCUUUCAUCUAUAUUUGUACCUUUCCUCAUUUUGCUCGUAAUUGCCAUUACUUUCUUUGCAGAGCUUACUCCAGUUAGUGCAGAUCUGAAAAUGAGAAAAUUGGGUUCACACCCAAGUCCACCUCCUCCACCCUUGCGUGCCCCGUCUCGGCAUACUCGUCCUCCUCGUCCUCGGCAUCGUCAUCCUCCUCCUCAUCCUCCAGCCAUUUCCUAACUUUUCAUGUUAUUUGAUCCCUGCAAUAUUACAAGAAAACAUGAGGGAAUCAAGGUUCAUGAUUUGAGUUUUUCUUCGAUCAGCAGGCACAAAAUUUCAACAGGCCGGCCGACCCCUUCAUUAAGUUGUUGGCAUAAUUUUCUAUGGGAGAUUUCAUUGAAAACUCAAAUAAUUAAAAGUAUCAUUGACUCUCAUGCAUUCGUGACUAUAAAUUUCGGUGACUACGAAGCAACCUGAUCUGAAAAUGAGAAAAUUGGGUCUCAUGCCAAGUCCACCUCCUCCACCCCAGCCUGGCAAACCACAACAUCCUCGUCAUCCUCCUCGGCAAGAUGGUCCCUAACUGUGUGUUACUUGAUCCCUGCAACAUUACAAAAAAUCAUUUGAGCCUGAUCAAGCUUUAAUUCAUACUCAUUUUCUUUAUAUAAAUAGCUUUACAUUAUUUGGUUUAUGUCCAAAUAACACUAUCUGUCUAAAGGCAGGAUAUAUUGAAUAUUUUAUUCAAAGCGUGUAUGCAUGUGCAAUUAGAUUUGGAGAAAUUAAAAGCUUUUUUA
rnacentral:lncRNA from 1 species